GAGUUUGAUCAUGGCUCAGAACGAACGCUGGCGGCAGGCCUCAAACAUGCAAGUCUAGGGGGUGUAGCAAUACAUCACCGGCGGACGGGUGCGUAACGCGUGGGAAUAUACCUAUUGGUUCGGAACAACUGAGGGAAACUUCAGCUAAUACCGAAUGUGCCCUUACGGGGAAAGAUUUAUCGCCAAUGGAUUAGCCCGCGUCCGAUUAGCUAGUUGGUGAGGUAACGGCUCACCAAGGCUCCGAUCGGUAGCUGUUCUGAGAGGAAGAUCAGCCACACUGGGACUGAGACACGGCCCAGACUCCUACGGGAGGCAGCAGUUGGGAAUCUUGGACAAUGGGGGAAACCCUGAUCCAGCCAUGCCGCGUGAGUGAUGAAGGCCUUCAGGUUGUAAAACUCUUUCGACGGGGACGAUAAUGACGGUACCCGUAGAAGAAGCUCCGGCUAACUUCGUGCCAGCCGCCGCGGUAAC
rnacentral:rRNA from 1 species